rnacentral:rRNA from 1 species
UUGACCUCAAAUCAGGUAGGACUACCCGCUGAACUUAAGCAUAUCAAUAAGCGGAGGAAAAGAAACUAACAAGGAUUCCCCUAGUAACUGCGAGUGAAGCGGGAAAAGCUCAAAUUUAAAAUCUGGCAGUCUUUGAUUGUCCGAGUUGUAAUCUAGAGAAGUGCUUUCCGCGYUGGACCGUGUACAAGUCU